rnacentral:tRNA from 1 species
GCGUCGGUGGUUCAGUGGUAGAAUACUCGCCUGCCUCGCGGGUGACCCGGGUUUGAUUCCCGGCCGACGCA